CCUACGGGAGGCAGCAGUGGGGGGAUAUUGCACAAUGGGGGAAACCCUGAUGCAGCGACGCCGCGUGGAGGAAGAAGGUUUUCGGAUUGUAAACUCCUGUCGUUAGGGACGAUAAUGACGGUACCUAACAAGAAAGCACCGGCUAACUACGUGCCAGCAG
rnacentral:rRNA from 1 species